rnacentral:rRNA from 1 species
AUGAAUUUGGACAAGAAGUGGAGUCUGGUCCCUCACUAUCACAUCAACAGGUAUGCCUACAUCAUAAUUGUAUGUACAAUGUUAGUUGUUGACCCACAGAUGCUGGUAUUAUGGUUGGAUGUAGGAGAACACAUGACCUUUCGCAGGUGGUGUGUGUCGUUGCUGGGUGACAGCAGACUGCGCACUGGGCCUCUCCACAGUGUCAAAACAUGUCCAAAAGAACACUUAAUUAACAUGAUUUUACAUGUGAUUCAUGAAUAUAUGAUAGAAAAUAGAGAAAAUGGAGUAACCAGGCGACAUGGCCCCGGGUGGCUUAGAUGUAGUGUUGAUUCCAUUUAG